rnacentral:lncRNA from 1 species
AUGGCAUCACCAGAAACCAAGAAGAUGGUAAGGCCUGGAGGUGGCAGAGCUGAAGAGGUUGAACUGGUUUGUUGAGCUUUAUGGAUGGAGCCAGCCAACAGGAUGACAUUGUGGCAGAGAAAGAAGCUUGCAGCUUCUUGCAUCAGAAAAUCAGAGAGAGCCUCUCUGGCAAGAAGCUGCAGACACAAAAGAAGCUUGCGUUGAAGACGGCAGGAAUGCAAAACAUCAAGAGGCUCCAUCCUUGAAUCACCAUUUGGAGAAGAGUUAACUGACAGACAAGAUCUGCACUGAAUUAUAUGUUCUGAACAUUGACAGCCAACAUCAGCUCUGAUGAGAGACAACUCUGAUGAGAUUCUGAAGUGUACAGCUUUUGAAUCAUUGAAGGAUUCAAUUGUUUUUCGUAUAAUCUGGCUCCACAGGGAGCCAGGAUAGCAGGAAAACAUGGUGGAUCCAGCAUGGAACUUACAACUGAGGCUAGUUUGAUGAGUCUAGCUCUGUCGCCCAGGCUGGAGUGCGGUGGCGGGAUCUCGGUUCACUGCAAGCUCCGCCUCCCGGAUUCAUGCCAUUCUCCUGCCUCAGCCUCCCGAGUAGUUGGGAC